rnacentral:rRNA from 1 species
AAUGAACGUUGGCGGCGUGGAUUAGGCAUGCAAGUCGUACGGGUCGGUGUAGCAAUACAACGGCAAGUGGCGAAAGGGAGAGUAACACGUAGAUACCUACCCUCUGGUCGGGGAUACCGCGGCAUAACCGCAAGUAAUACCCGAUAAAAUCUCCGGAUCAAAGGUGUGAUUCCGCCGGAGGAGGGGUCUGCGUUCUAUCAGCUUGUUGGUGAGGUAAUGGCUCACCAAGGCUAAGACGGAUACGGGGUGUGAGAGCAUGCCCCCGCUCACUGGGACGGAGACACUGCCCAGACACCUACGGGUGGCUGCAGUCGAGAAUCUUCGGGAAUGGGCGCAAGCCUGACCGAGCGACGCCGCGUGCGGGAUGAAGGCCUUCGGGUUGUAAACCGCUGUCGAGGGGAAUGAAGUGUAGGUGGGUACUCCCAUCUAUUUGACAGAUCCCUGGAGGAAGCAUGGGCUAAGUUCGUGCCAGCCGCCGCGGUAAUAC